rnacentral:rRNA from 1 species
UUAACACAUGCAAGUCGAGGGGCAGCAUGGUCUUAGCUUGCUAAGUUUGAUGGCGACCGGCGCACGGGUGAGUAACGCGUAUCCAACCUGCCCCGUACACGGGGAUAGCCUUCCGAAAGGGAGAUUAAUACCCGAUGAUGUCAGGAGUUCGCAUGUAAACCUGACUAAAGUUAUUACGGUACGGGAGGGGGGUGCGUUCCAUUAGGUAGUAGGCGGGGUAACGGCCCACCUAGCCUACGAUGGAUAGGGGUUCUGAGAGGAAGGUCCCCCACAUUGGAACUGAGACACGGUCCAAACUCC